rnacentral:tRNA from 1 species
AUCUGGCUGGCUCAGUUGGUAGAGCGUCUGACUCUUAAUCACAAGGUCGUGAUUUCAAGCCCCGCGUUGGGUG